rnacentral:rRNA from 1 species
AACGAACGCUGGCGGCAUGCCUAACACAUGCAAGUCGAACGAGCCCUUCGGGUCUAGUGGCGCCCGGGUGCGUAACGCGUGGGAACCUGCCCUUAGGUUCGGCAUACCUCCCCGAAAGGGGUGCUAAUACCGGAUAAUGUCUUCGGACCAAAGAUUUAUCGCCUUUGGAUGGGCCCGCGUUGGAUUAGCUAGUUGGUAGGGUAAAAGCCUACCAAGGCGACGAUCCAUAGCUGGUUUGAGAGGAUGAUCAGCCACACUGGGAGUGAGACACGGCCCAGACUCCUACGGGAGGCAGCAGUGGGGAAUAUUGGACAAUGGGCGAAAGCCUGAUCCAGCAAGGCCGCGUGAGUGAUGAAGGCAUUAGGGUUGUAAAGCUCUUUUAACCGGGAUGAUAAUGACAGUACCGGGAGAAUAAGCUCCGGCUAACUCCGUG